CAAUAGCGUAUAUUAAAGUUGUUGCAGUUAAAAAGCUCGUAGUUGGAUUUCUGUGAGAGUGCCGGUGUCGGCUGAUGCUUGUACGCAGGCGCUCUUACAUCCUUCUGUUAACUGUUCUUGGCAUUUUAUUGCUGGUUCAGGGCUCAGAUAUUUUACCUUGAGAAAAUUAGAGUGUUUCAGGCAGGCUUAUGCCGGAAUACAUUAGCAUGGAAUAAUGGAACAGGACCUGUGCGUCUCUCGGGGCGCCGGUCUCCGUUGUUGGUUUCGGGGACUAAUGUAAUGAUUAAUAGGGAUAGUUGGGGGCAUUAGUAUUUAAUAGUCAGAGGUGAAAUUCUCGGAUUUGUUAAAGACUAACUUAUGCGAAAGCAUUUGCCAAGGAUGUUUUCAUUAAUCAAGAACGAAAGUUAGGGGAUCAAAGACGAUUAGAUACCAU
rnacentral:rRNA from 1 species